CAGCCGCCGCGGUAAUGCGUAGGUGGCAAGCGUUGUCCGGAAUUAUUGGGCGUAAAGGGCUCGCAGGCGGUUUCUUAAGUCUGAUGUGAAAGCCCCCGGCUCAACCGGGGAGGGUCAUUGGAAACUGGGAAACUUGAGUGCAGAAGAGGAGAGUGGAAUUCCACGUGUAGCGGUGAAAUGCGUAGAGAUGUGGAGGAACACCAGUGGCGAAGGCGACUCUCUGGUCUGUAACUGACGCUGAGGAGCGGAAGCGUGGGGAGCGAACAGGAUUAGAUACCCGCGUAGUCCCUGUCUCUUAUAC
rnacentral:rRNA from 1 species